rnacentral:rRNA from 1 species
CAGCCGCCACGGUAAUACGUAGGGUGCGAGCGUUAAUCGGAAUUACUGGGCGUAAAGCGUGCGCAGGCGGUUAUAUAAGUCAGAUGUGAAAUCCCCGGGCUCAACCUGGGAACUGCAUUUGAGACUGUAUGGCUAGAGUGUGUCAGAGGGGGGUAGAAUUCCACGUGUAGCAGUGAAAUGCGUAGAUAUGUGGAGGAAUACCGAUGGCGGAGGCAGCCCCCUGGGAUAACACUGACGCUCAUGCACGAAAGCGUGGGGAGCAAACAGGAUUAGAUACCCCGGUAGUCCCUGUCUCUUAUAC